CUUGAUUAUACCUUCUUAUUUUGCAGAAAGGGGACUGAAGAACUUCCUCUUUAAAACAGCCUUCAAAGGAUCUGAAAUAUUACAAAAAUCAGAGACCAAAUUCACAGCUGGCACAAGUGGGCACCUCCCAGCUUGAGUAGGUUUCCCCUCAGCCCCAUCUGAGACAUCAAGAACAAUGAUUCCAGAUGUAAGCAAAAAGUUUUCCUUCGCAGCACAUCACAGGACCUGCAGGCGUGCCUCGAAAUGAAGAUUGCAAAUGACGUGGGUGCUGUGAGCCUGAUGAACACCUUGAGAGCUGACAGAUGACAAUCUUAAAAGAUUGAUAAAAGUAAACUGUGGACCUUUUCCCUUGGCUCGAGGUGGUGACAAAGACAUCUGCAGCCUUUGCCUGGAUCGUUCGGGUCAAGAGUGAACAGGAGAGGGCAGCAUCGCUUUAGACUUACGAUGCAAGGCACGGCCUUAACACCCCACAGAAGUGCACACUAUGGGGAAAGCAAAGGAGUGUGAGAGUUAACAGGAGUAGAUACUGCUCCAUUUUGCAAAUGGGGAAACCAGAGUACACAGGAGUCACAGAUCUUGUCAAAACCAUGCAGCCAAGCCCUGGCAGAUUCAGGAAUGGAAUCCGUGAGUCCUGACUCUUUAGUUCCCCCGCUCUGAUCACCAGACAACACUCCCUUCCUCUGAAAUAGGCUAUUUUGAUUGAAAACAGAUGGUGUACAUUUUUGGCACAGUGUUUUUUAAGUAUAUUAAAAUGCUCUGAAUGAGUAUGUGCUUAUAUCAUACCUACAUCUGUAUACAUGUAUAUACAUGCAUACUGCAUCUAUGCAUACAGAAAUAGGUAUGAGUUAAGGACAUAUUAAUUUACAUAUAUCGUAUGCAAAUGUAAUGGAUAUACUGAAAGAUACUUAAGUGCAGCUGGACAGCUGACAUACCUAAACACAUAAGCUGUAGUCUUCAGUGGUAUUGUAAUUACACACUACAUAGUCUCUCUCUCUAAGCAACAGACUUUAUGCUCUUGAUGGAGUGUCCACUUUGAUGCAAUUCAUGCAUUAAAGUUAUUUAUCAUUUGAUGAAAAAUUUUAGCGUUGUUUCUGUAAGGGAUGAAUUCUAUCCAUUUUCAUUAGCUACAGGACAAACCUCCAUCCUAGCUGAACAAUGCCUUUAGUGGGCACUGCCUGCAUUUGUUGUGUUGU
rnacentral:lncRNA from 1 species